rnacentral:tRNA from 1 species
GGGGCUGUAGCUCAGUUGGGAGAGCGUCGCGUUCGCAAUGCGAAGGUCAGGGGUUCGAUUCCCCUCAGCUCCACCA